ACUCGUCGAGGAAAACGAUGUGUCUUUUCCGACGAGUUCUUCGGUCGUGUGUACGAGGCCUGAGAGAAUGUUAACAAUGGUAGUUAGGUCACGUUGAUGAGAGAACGUUAACAAUGGCAGUUAGGUCACAUUGAUGAGAGUACGUUAACAAUUGCAGUUAGGUCACAUUGAUGAGAGAACGUUAACGAUUGCAGUUACGUCACACGUUGAUGAUGGAAUGUUAUCAAUGGCAGUUAUGUUACACAUUGAUGUGAGAAAGUUAACAAUGGCAGUUAGGUCACAUUAAUGAGAGAAUGUUAACAAUGGUAGUUAGGUCACGUUGAUGAGAGAACAUUAACAAUUGCAGUUAGGUCACAUUGAUGAGAGAAUGUUAACAAUUGCAGUUACGUCACACGUUGAUGAUGGAGUGUUAUCAAUGGCAGUUAUGUUACAGGUUGAUGUGAGAAAGUUAACAAUGGUAGUUAGGUCACGUUGAUGAGAGAACGUUAACAAUGGCAGUUAGGUCACAUUGAUGAGAGAACGUUAACAAUGGCAGUUAGGUCACGUUGAUGAGAGAAUGUUAACAAUGGCAGUUAGGUCACAUUGAUGAGAGAACGUUAACAAUGGCAGUUAGGUCACGUUGAUGAGAGAAUGUUAACAAUGGCAGUUAGGUCACGUUAUUUAUCCAUUUAAACUUAGAAGGAGUUGAAGAACAUUUCAGAUAACAGGAAAAGUGCGAGAAGAAAAAAAAAUCUAGCGGUGUAACUGCAGAAAAAGGGAAAUGGUUCAUGAGAAAGGAAAGUAAGUGCGUUUAAAAAAACUAAGCUAUUCCGAGAUGGAAAAAUAUGGAGAAGGCACCAAGAGAAAUAAAAGCAGGCAAUGGAGGAGGGGAGAAAGGGGGAAGGGGGAGACGGGAUGAAGAAAGGGUGAACGAGAGGAGAAAGUAAUAGGGACCAGGAGAGGGAGAGAGAGGGCAGGCGUGUAAUAGUAUCAAUGCCUUGGAAAAUUGUGUAGCAGGCAGAGAAGGAAGGACUGACACAGGGCUGGGUCACAUGGAGGUUACUGCACCCAAAGGGGGUUCUGGCAGGGUUCAUACAGAGCUGGCUGCCUGCAUCUUACUGACAGGGAGGGGAGAGAGAGAGAGGAAAGGAGGGGGAGAUGGAUUCCCUCUCACAGGCGACUCAUAUUGAAAGGAAAAUGCAGAGUUUCACGCCACAGGAAUGUACCACUACAUCCUGACCUAAGGGGAGAAAGGGAGCCAGAAAGGC